GAUGACGAUGAGGAAUGCUGUUGUGAUUACACCGUUGAAGAAAACCACAGUCUUGCGGAGGUACGGCAGCCAGUAGAAUGGAGGUGGUGAAGACUCAUCAAAAAAUGGUUGUCUAUUUUUUAGCCUACUAAAGGCUCUUAAAAAGUAUCUGACAAGCGGAAGCUGUGUUCAUUAAAGCUUUGAUACAGUAAUUAACGGACGCUUUUUUACAUUUCUUCACAUUUCUAAAUCCUCACACUACAGUGUGGGUGAAUUGGGAUCCUUGACAUUAAGAAACAUCACAAACCGAAAACUUAUCCACAUCGACAGGGCUGUAAUGGAACAGGUCGAGAGUCUACAUCUCUAAGGAAUUAACAUGGUCCACACACCAACACAGUUGUGAAGAGGGCACAACAAUGCCUCUUCCCCGUCAGCAGGCUGAACAGAUUUGUCAUGGGCUCUCAGAUCCUCAAAAAGUUCUACAGCUGCACCAUUGAAUGCAUCUUGACUGGCUGCAUUACCGCUUGGUAUUGCAACUGCUUGGCAUCUGAGCGCAAGGGGCUAUAGAGGGUAGUGAGCGCAAGGGGCUAUAGAGGGUAGUGAGCGCAAGGGGCUAUAGAGGGUAGUGAGCGCAAGGGGCUAUAGAGGGUAGUGAGCGCAAGGGGCUAUAGAGGGCAGUGCAGCCUCUAUAUUUCCUGUCAGAGGAAGGCCCUAAAAAUAAUCAAAGACUCCAGCCGUUCAAGUCAUAGACUCUUCUCUCUGCUACCGCAUGGCAAGCGGUACCGAUGCACCAAGUCUGGUACCAACAGGAACCUGAACAGCUUCUACCCCCAAGCCAUAAGACUGCUAAAUAAUGAACCCAAUAGCUACCUGGACUAUCUGCGUGGACACUCCUUUGCACUAACUGUUUUGACUCAUCACAUACGCUGCUGCUACUGCUUAUUAUCUAUCAUGUUGCCUAGUCACUUUACCCCUACCCACAACAUCACACUUUAACCCUACCCACAACAUCACACUUUAACCCUACCCACAACAUCACACUUUAACCCUACCCACAACAUCACACUUUAACCCUACCCACAACAUCACACUUUAACCCUACCCACAACAUCACACUUUAACCAUACCCACAACAUCACACUUUACCCUACCCACAACAUCACACAUUAACCCUACCCACAACAUCACACUUUAACCCUACCCACAACAUCACACUUUAACCAUACCCACAACAUCACACUUUACUCCUACCCACAACAUCACACUUUAACCAUACCCACAACAUCACACUUUACCCCUACCCACAACAUCACCCAUUAACCCUACCCACAACAUCACACUUUAAUCCUACCCACAACGUCACACUUUACCCCUACCCACAACGUCACACUUUAACCCUACCCACAAGAUCACACUUUACCCCUACCCACAACAUCACACUUUACCCCUAACCACAACAUCACACUUUACCCCUACCCACAACAUCACAUUUUACCCCUACCCACAACAUCACACUUUACUCCUACCCACAACAUCACACUUUACCCCUACCCACAACAUCACAUUUUACCCCUACCCACAACAUCACACUUUAACACCUACCCAUACCUGGGGCGGCAGGUAGCCUCGUGGUUAGAGCAUUUGACUAGUAACCGAAAGGUUGCAAAAUCGAAUUCCUGAGCUGACAAGGUAAACAUUUGUCGUUCUGCCCCUGAACAAGGCAGUUAACCCACUGUUCCUAGGCCGUCAUUGAAAAUAAGAAUUAGUUCUUAACUGACUGGCCUAGUUAAAUAAAUUUACAUACAGUA